ACAACCUCCCGAGGGCAAGCCGGUAGCAGUAACAGCAGCAUCACAGUUCUCCCGUUUCAGCGUGUCCCGCUCCCGCUUCUCCAUCACACACGUCCCCAAUCCAGACAUGAACUCUGGAGGGAGCAGUGAAGAUGGAGAGAGGCAGUGAAAGAAGGAUUGAAGGGGUCUUCUCCAUGACAGGAAGGAGUAUACCUCCUCUCCUAGUAUGACUACCAGGUGUUCAGACCUGGGAUCUCAAGGACCUGAUGACCCUGUAUGAGCCAAUGCCUUGUAUCGUAGUGACUCAACAUCUACAUUCCAAAUGACAGCCUAUUCCCUAUGUGCCCUGGUCAACAAUAGUGGAAAACAUAGGGAACAGGGUGCCAUUUCGGAUGCAGACAAACACCUUAAUGGUUCCUUCUCUUACUUUGUAUUAUUACUCCAGAGAGAGACAGAGAGAUAGCUGUAGGAACGAUGACAGAGUCCUGAGAGGACCACAACCAAGCAGUAUGUGACUGAUAAUAUAGAUGUAUUAGAGAUAUAUAACAUCUACACUUAUGACAAUUAUUAAUAACGUAUUUGCUCAAAUCACCAUUGACGUUCAGUAGCGUCAAGUCAUUUGGUGAAAAGGAAAAAGAGACAAAAAAUGAAAAAAUGACAAGACUUGGUCUCAUUGCUGCUCUCUCAUUGGCUGCUUUGGUCCUCCAUCUGCUUGCUCAUCGGCUGGUUGGAUCUUCUAGAACAGUGUUACAGUGCUUCCCUGGAGCCAUUGAAUAACGGCUGAUGACCGCCCCACAGGAAGCUGCUCUCUGUGGGGGUUCAAAGAUGAAGACAACCCCCCUUUACAAAUGACAGAGGAAUAGGGGUGGGGGUACUGCGAAACCUACUGUGCUCCCUUGACAAAGCCACAGGAAGGUGGACGGUCUUGCUGAUGUUUUAGUUCAGGGAUAAAAAAAUGUAUCAUUAUGAUGUUAUACCAUAGCAUUGAAUAUGUGUUUCUGAUUGGCUUGAAGGGCAUUCUAGAGCGUGCAUUAUUUCCGUAUAACUCACGGUAUAUUUGCACGAUAGAAAGGUGCGUUCUUACAUGUUAUAUGUUUGAGUUGCUUUUGAAAGCAAAAGUUCAAUUGAAAACAUUAUUGGCAUGUUUGAAUUCGAUUUUCAUAAUGGCGAACUAGUACUGAUGGUUUAGUUCGCUAAACUAGCGAGUCAGUUUGUUCGGUUACCAAGGCAACCACUGUCGCUGUCUAGUAAACUUGCUAGCUACCUUCAGUGGAUGUUAAACACAUUUCUACUGGCCAAUUAACACAUUUCUAGCAGCAAAUGUGUUCAAUUAUAGCCCUGGUAUAAAAGGGAUAAUCAACUUGGGGCUCUAUGCAUACUGGAAAAGUGGAAAGUCAGCUGGAACACACCUUCCACAUCGUUCAUUAUUUUCCAUAGAACCCAUAGCCUCUGGUUGAUUAUCCCUUACAUAACAGAUCAUAAGAGCCAGAGCCCUGUUGAAAUCUAUGUAUGUUAUAAUAUAUAUGGCUCUGCUUACAACUUGGUAACACUG